ensembl:miRNA
AGCUAGACAAGUACUGGCCUCAGCAGAUUGAAGAGGACACAAUAGUGGUCGCCAUGCAGUCUGCUGAGGUUGGAGCUGCUGAGAUGA